AAGGAUUCUCAGCACUUGAGACCAGUUCAUCAAAAGGUCCGGGCACAAAUCAGGAGUAGCUACAAAACUGGACUCAAGGGAACUUGAAAAGUACAGUUCUGUGGGAGAGACCACCCGCCGGGCAUCAGUUGUGGACUCCUCCAUAACAGUGAAGGGCUGAUACUCGUUCGCCUGACACCUCAGGCUUUCUGAUACUCUGUCCAAUCCAACAGAGAAAACUCCAGCUCCGGAGCACUCCAAUUGCUAAAUGAGGAAAUGGGAAGAUCAGCCUUGACUCCUCCCGGAACAAACUGGAGUUGACAUCACUUCCGAAUUUGGCCAACCGCCAGGUUACCGGAAGUGACGUCGCCAGAGGUUGGUGGCCUGUGAUCUUCGCGAGAGAAAUGAUUACCGCACAAUGCUCGGUGUCGAAAAAAUUAAGGGGCUGCUGUCGCCUGGACUCGCCUCCGUCCGGGUCAGGAAUGACUUCCAAGGUUCAUGUAUAUCCUUGAGACGCAAACUUACCUUUCUGCCGCGUCCAGCGCCGGAGACCGGAAGUACUCUGGGUGGGUGGGUAUUCAUCCGGAAAUGGCAGAUCUGGGGCCACCCUAGAGACCAGGAUCGUGACUUAGAACUUUCAUGGCUUACUGACAGCCAGAAAAUCUGAAAAGAAGUGUAUGAAGUCCUCCGAUUUCUGUAUUCCUGCAGUGGAUUCUCGGUGAUUUGUAAUUAUCCUUCCCUCUUCGUCCUGUUAGUUAUGGUCAGUCAUUAAAUACACUCUGAAUUCCCGUUAGGUGCCAGAUACUGGGCUGAAAGAUGAGAGCUACAGCCACCGCUAGAUUUAAGGUCAUCCUUGUUCCUUCGCGUAUUCCGUGACGAUUCAUUGAUGUUUAUCACUCUUCUCCAUGAGCUACCAGAUACAGCUAAUUCAGCAAAUGAUUUUUGUUCCAUGAUCUUUGAACUCAAAAGUGCAAACUGCCUGUAAACAAAAAUGAGCCUGAGCCUUCUUCCUACCUGCUCUCGAUCGCACCUUGUGUCCACUAUGACCCAACCAUACCGCCUUCCCACAUUUAAAAUCAGCUAUUGACUGGCCUCCCCCCCCCCAAAAAAAAGUGCCCUUUUUUUUAACUGAUGGAAAAUAUUUCCUCAAACAUGUGUCCUUAAAACGUU